rnacentral:tRNA from 1 species
GCGGGAAGACUUCAUCUUCGCUUGUGCAUGUAGUUCGUCGUCAUCAGGACCAUAACCUGAAGGCCGCAGGUUCAAAUCCUGCCCCCGCA